AAAUUGUUUUACAUAAUUUCACGAGCCGUUAGGCGAACUAAACCACAAGAUUGCUAACAAUUUCCGAAGGGAGAGCAUCCCGGUACGUAACGCUCCCCGAUGUGCCUACGGAAAAACGUCGUCUACAAGAUCAAUUUCCAAAGGGAGAGCAUCCCGGUACGUAUCGCUCACCGAUGUGCCUACGGAAAAACGUCGUCUACAAGAUCAAUUUCCAAAGGGAGAGCAUCCCGGUACGUAUCGCUCACCGAUGUGCCUACGGAAAAACGUCGUCUACAAGAUCACAUGUAAUAACUGCAAUCAACUACACAUCGGUAGCACUAUACGUUUCCUCCACGAUCGCAC